GAGCGCGCAGGGGUGCUUGGGGAGAACAAGACUAGUGUUAGCAGCGUCCUUCGCCUCGUUCUCCCCAAGCACCCCUGCGCGUUC